rnacentral:lncRNA from 10 species
CCUGCUCAGCUUGCUGGCUACACAAAGAUAAAGACAUUUACAGGGUCUAGUUUGAGGCACUAAGGAGGAUAAUGCAUCCGUUUGAAAAGAGUCCUUAUAAGAGAAACAUGGAUUCUGCUAAAAUUCAAGCAAGAACAGACAUCACAUUUGUGGUGAAGCUUGGGUGGAAGAAUGGUAACAUCACUGAUGCUUUACAAAAAGUUUAUGGAGAAAAUUCUUCAAGUGAUAAUUUUACAAAUGAAUAACUUGUUUUAGGAAAGGACAGGGCCGUGUGAGGUGGCUCACGCUUAUAAUCCCAGCACUUUGAGAGGCCAAGGAUGAUUGCUUGAGGCCAAGAGUUUGAGACCAGCUUAGGCAACAAAGUGAGACCCUUUCUCUACAAAAAAUAGAACAUUUACCUGGGUGCGGUGGUGCAUGCCUACAGUCUGAGCUACUUGGGAGGCUGAGGCAGGAGGAUUGCUUAAGCCCAGGAGUUUGAGCCUGCAGAGAGUUACAAUGGUGCUACUGCACUCCGACAUGGGUGACAGAGUGAGACCCUGUCUCUUAAAAGGAAAAGGAAAAGAAAGGACAACAUUGUUGAAGAUGAAGCCUGCAGCAGCAGACUAUCCACAUCAAUUUGCAAGGAAAAAAUUUUCUUGUUCAUACCCUAAUCAACAAUACAAACAAUAGAAAAUUAACAGCACAAACAAUAGCCAACAUUCUCGACAUUUCAACUGGUUCAGUUUACACAAUUCUGACUAAAAAAUUAAAGUUGAACAAGCUUCCCGCUCAAUGGGUACCAAAACAGUUGUGCCUGGGUCAGCUGUGGACAAAAGCCGAGCUUUCCGUGGAAAUUUUAAAUACAUAGGAUCAAGAUCCUGAAGCAUUUCUUCAGACUAGUAACGGGAGAUGAAACAUGGCUUUACCAGUAUGGUCCUGAAGACAAGGCACAAUCAAAGCAAUGGCUACCAAGAGGUGAACGUGGUGCAGUCAAAGCAAAAGACGAUGGGUCAAGAGCUGAGGUUAUGGCAACAGUUUUUUGGGAUGCUCAAGGCAUUUUGCUUGUUGAUGUUCUGGACAAUAACAUCUGACUAUUAUGAGAGCAUUUUGAGAAAGCUAGCAAAAGUUUUAGCAGAAAAACUCCUGGAAGAGCUUCACCAGAGAGUCUUUCUCUACCAUGACAAUGCUGCUGCUCAUUCCUCUCAGCAAACAAGGUCAAUCUUGCAAGAGUUUUGAUGAGACAUCAUUAGGUGCCUAUCCUCCAGUCCUGAUUUGGCUCCAUCUGACUUCUUUCUGUUUUCUAUUCUUAAAAAAAUCUUUAAAGAUCACCCAUUUUUCCUCAGUUAAUAACAUAGAAAAGACAACAUGAACAUGGUUAAAUUCCCAGGACCCUCAGUUCUUUAGGGAUGGACAAAAUGGUUGGUAUCAUCACUUAGAAAAGUAUCUUGAACUUGAUGAAGCUUAUGUUGGGAAAUAAAGUUUAUAUUAUUUAUUUAUUUAUUUAUUUAUUUAUUUAUUUAUUUAUUUAAGACAGAGUCUGGCUCUGUCGGCCAGGCUGGAAUGCAGUGGCACGAUCUUGGCUCACUGCAAUCUCCACCUCCUGGGCACAAAUGAUUCUUGUGCCUCAGCCUCCCGAGAAGCUGGGAUUACAGGCACACACCACCACACCUGGCUAAUUUUUGUAUUUUUAGUAGAGAUGGGGUUUCACCAUGUUGGCCAGGCUGGUAUUUUUAUCUUUUAAUUCUUUUUUUUUUUUUUUUUUGAGACGGAGUCUUGCUCUGUCGUUUAGGCUGGACUGCAGUGGCAUGAUCUUGGCUCACUGCAACAUCUGCCUCCCAGGUUCAAGUGAUUCUCCUACAUCAGCAUCCUGAGUAGCUGGGAUUACAGGUGUGCACCAUCAUGCCUGGCUAAUUUUUGUAUUUUUAGUAGAGACCGGGUCUCACCUUGUUGGCCAGGCUGGUCUUGAACUCCUGACCUUAGGUAAUCCUCCUGCCUUGGCCUCCCAAAGUGCUAGGAUUACAGGCGUGAGUCACCGUGCCUGGCCCCCAUGACCUUUUCGAAGUCCCCUAGUAUGCCUUUACACCCAUUUCUAGAAUGAUUCCCAACAUUCCUUCAUUUAUUCCUUUAUUUAUUGAAUAAAUAAUUAUUAAAUGCUUGUCAUGUAUGUUCCAGGCUUUGCUCUAGUAAUUUCGGAUAUAUCAAUGAACAAAGCAGGAAAGAAAAAAAAAAAAGGCAAAAUCUCUGCCUUCCGGGAGCUCACAUUCCCACAGGAGUCACAGGAAACAGCCAAUGACCAGUAAGCAUCACAAAGAAGUCAUGCCAAAGAACCAGACAAAUAGCUGGAAGGAAGAGGGGAACUCCUUUGUGACGCCAAAUGGGCCAAAGGGUCGCUGGGAAAACUAAGCCUUACUGUCCAUCUUGCCUUCAGGAUAAUGUGAAAUAUGGCCUAAUUUUUGAAGUUUUUUUCUUAGAAAUUUUACUGAAUCCAAAAUAAAACAAGAAGAUCAUGGUGGAUAUAGCUUCCAAAUUUAUUCUGCAAUAAAACAGAUGGCAGUAGAGUUAAAGAAAAAAAUCCCAGCAGUUCUUUGUACAGGGAUUUGGUGAUUUUUCCCAUAAAGCUGCGAUGAGGAUGAACUCAGAGCAAAAUCUAUAACUCAGGUGGCAGAGAGGAGAAGCAGCUGGACAUCGGAGACUAUGGCUGGACAUUGGAGAGAAGUGGUUUGACUUCAGAGGGACAGCUUGACAGUGAAGAAUUCGGCCAGAGAUAGCUGGACUUCAGGGGAAGAUGAUCUUUCCGCCUCAUCCCCCUUUCAGCUCCCCUUCCUGCUGAGAGACACUUUAAUCGGCAAUAAAAUCCCCCAUGUUUACCAUCCUUCAAUUCGUUUGUGUGACCUCAUUUCUCCUGGAUGCUGGACAA